rnacentral:rRNA from 1 species
AUGAGAGAUGUUGUUGUCACCCAUGCCACCCGAUCAACAAGUGUUGAAGUGGACGCUCCCGAGGUCAACCUAAACAAGGAAGAUUCCCGCUCAUCUGAUACGGAUUCCAAGCAUGUGGCUGGUAGCACUUCUGUGUCCACGAAAGAAGGGGAUGCGACCACAUUUCAGAAUGAAAUGCCAUCCAUAGUUGACUCUCAUGUCCCAACGGCUCCAGCAGCUGGUGGUCCACUGGCUGCAACUGUUACCGUUGUGCGGUCUGGCCUACCACCUAGGCUGCGUAGCCCCUGCAAGAUUCCUGCAUAG